CUUGAUUAUCCUACUUGGAUAACUGUGGAAAUUCUAGAGCUAAUACACGCAAUAAAGCUCCGACCUUACGGGACGAGCGCAUUUAUUAGACCAAAACCAAUCGGGCUUCGGCCUGAACGGUGGUGACUCUGAAUAACUGAGCUGAUCGCAUGGUCUUUGUACCGGCGACGCAUCUUUCAAGUGUCUGCCUUAUCAACUUUCGAUGGUAGUUUAUGUGCCUACCAUGGUUGUUACGGGUAACGGAGAAUAAGGGUUCGACUCCGGAGAGGGAGCCUGAGAAACGGCUACCACAUCCAAGGAAGGCAGCAGGCGCGCAAAUUACCCACUCUCGGCACGAGGAGGUAGUGACGAAAAAUAACGCCCCUUAUUACGGGCUGAGGCCCGCCAUCGGAAUGGGUACAAUUCAA
rnacentral:rRNA from 1 species